rnacentral:rRNA from 1 species
UACGGGGGGAGCAAGCGUUGUUCGGAUUUACUGGGUAUAAAGGGUGCGUAGGCGGCUUGUUAAGUCAGGGGUGAAAGUUUUCGGCCCAACCGGAAAAUUGCCUUUGAUACUGGCGAGCUGGAGUGCGUGAGGGGUGACCGGAACGAGUGGUGUAGCGGUGAAAUGCGUAGAUAUCACUCGGAAGGCCAACGGCGAAGGCAGGUCACUGGUGCGCAACUGACGCUGAGGCACGAAAGCGUGGGGAGCAAACAGG